rnacentral:rRNA from 1 species
AUUGAACGCUGGCGGCAGGCCUAACACAUGCAAGUCGAGCGAGAGGCGGAUGGGUGAGCAAUGUAUGGGGACUGCCCGAUAGAGGGGGAGAACUGCUGGAAACGGUAGCUAAUACCGCAUACUAACGGAUAACCCAUAUGGGAUUAGCUAGUAGGUGAGGUAACGGCUCACCUAGGCGACGAUCCCUCGCUGGUCUGAGAGGAUGAUCAGCCACACUGGGACUGAGACACGGCCCAGACUCCGACGGAGGCAGCAGUGGGGAAUAUUGCACAAUGGGCGCAAGCCUGAUGCAGCCAUGCCGCGUGUAUGAAGAAGGCCCUAGGGUUGUAAAGUACUUUCAGUCGGGAGGCGUUACCGACAGAAGAAGCACCGGCUAACUCCGUGCCAGCCGCCGCGGUAAUUC